UCUUGUUCUAUAUACUCGGUGUCACUCAAACACUCAGUGUCACUGAGCAGCCCCAGGGAGCUUGCUGAGAGCGAGCAAAAUGAGCAGGGAUGGGAAGGUGCCAUAGACUAACAAAAAAGCAUCAGGGUUUGGUUCCGGUUUGGGCUUUCCUAUGUCACAUUCAACUCUGAGCUUCAAACUCCCACUGGGAGACCAAGGAACAGAUCCUCGCUUGCACCUUCCUCCCGGGCCUUCCUACGGUUACAGGGAGAGUCACCCGGACCCAGCCAGAUCAACCUCAGGGCAGUAGGCUGCUUAGGGAUAGGAAUGGUGUUUGGGUGUCAUUCUUAUUUCCCAGCUUCAAAUGGCAGGAGAAACAAAUUCACUCCAGAAUCCUCCCUGUUUUGAUAAAAGGCAAGAAGAAUCUGAAGCCAAAGAGGAAGGUUUGCUCCUGGGAGUUCAGCAUCUUCUGCAAAGAAACUCUGAGCCUGACUGCACCACCCUCAGACUUGGCCUCGAUAACAACUUCCUGGAAACACGGCGACUCAUUGGUACCCAUAGGAGCCUUGAGGGAAGGAUGGCAGUGGUCCACGUCGGUCUGGAUGUGAGUGACUAUGGAGCACAGCCACUGCCCCUCGCAUCACCACCAGCUCAACUGCAGUAUAAUUUAUUACAUAACACAACUUGAACAAGAACCCGCGGAUGUUUUCCUGAAUAAUAAUUAGAAGAAUAACGUUCCUGCUGUGGGCUGUCAGAGGGUACCCUUUCCACUGCUGGCUCACAGAAUCGUGGGAAGAAUUCAUGAACCAGUCAAAUGGAGACUGCUAGGCUCCUCCCCAAUGCUCCCAGCUCUCACAGGGGCUUCUCUGGUUUAGAAGAGAGUGGUGAUGA